CCAAUAGCGUAUAUUAAAGUUGUUGCAGUUAAAAAGCUCGUAGUUGAAUUUCGGGAUUAGUACGCUGGUCGUGCCUUCGGUACGUACUGGUGUUACUGAUUCCUACCUUCUGACGAACCAUCAUGUCAUUAAUUUGGUGUGGUGGGAAAUCAGGACUGUUACUUUGAAAAAAUUAGAGUGUUUAAAGCAGGCUCGCGCUUGAAUACAUUA
rnacentral:rRNA from 1 species